rnacentral:lncRNA from 10 species
GAUUCCGAAAUGAGGCUUUUGCAGACGUAAUUGAGGAUGUCAAGAUGAGAUCAUUCUGGAAUUAGAGUGGGCCCUAAAUCCAAUGACAGGCAUCCUUAUAAGAGAAAGGAGAGGGGGCCUGAGACCUAGAGCGGUGGAGGAAGGCCGGGGAAGGCAGGCAGGGAUGGGAGUGAUGUGGCUGCAAGCCAAGGACAGCCAGCAGCGCCGGACACGAGGAGACAGGCAUGGAGCGGCCCCUCCCUCCAAGCCUCUGGAGCAAGCGGCCCUGCUGACACUCCAGGAUUGAGAGAGAAUAAAAUUCUGCCCCUCAGUUUGCAGCACUUUGUGCAGCAGCCUCAGGACACUGAUACGGGUGACAAGAGAUGGGGCGCAGGCUGGGCACCGUGGCUCACGCCUGUCAUCUCAACGCUUUGGGAGGCUGAGGCAGGCAGAUAACUUGAGGUCAGGAGUUCGAGACCAGCCUGGCUAACAUGGUG